GGGAAUUUAGCUCAGCGGCAUAAGCACCUGCCUUGCAAGCAUGAGGUCAUGAAUUCGAUUCAUGGUUCCAA
rfam:Cavia porcellus supercont2_5 genomic scaffold, whole genome shotgun sequence.